rnacentral:rRNA from 1 species
UACCAGCCCCCCGAGUGGUCGGGACGAUUAUUGGGCCUAAAGCAUCCGUAGCCGGCCUUACAAGUCCUCCGUUAAAUCCAGCUGCUUAACAGAUGGGCUGCGGAGGAUACUAUAAGACUAGGAGGCAGGAGAGGCAAGCGGUACUCAGUGGGUAGGGGUAAAAUCCGUUGAUCCAUUGAAGACCACCAGUGGCGAAGGCGGCUUGCCAGAAUGCGCUCGACGGUGAGGGAUGAAAGCUGGGGGAGCAAACCGG